GCACCGCUGCGCUGGCGCUGGUCGCGGUGUUCCAGCCGCCGCCGGAUCUCUGGUCGGCCGUAACGUUCAUCACGUUGGCGGUGUUCC
rnacentral:tRNA from 1 species